GGAUGAGUUUAUGGCGCAUUAGUUAGUUGGCGGGGUAACGGCCCACCAAGACGAUGAUGCGUAGCCGACCUGAGAGGGUGACCGGCCACACUGGGACUGAGACACGGCCCAGACUCCUACGGGAGGCAGCAGUGGGGAAUUUUCCGCAAUGGGGGAAACCCUGACCGAGCAACGCCGCGUGAAUGACGAAGUACUUCGGUAUGUAAAGUUCUUUUAUCAGGGAAGAAUGGCUAGCGGAAAAGCUAGAUUGACGGUACUUGAUGAAUAAGCCCCGGCUAACUAUGUGCCAGCAGCCGCGGUAAUACAUAGGGGGCAAGCGUUAUCCGGAAUUAUUGGGCGUAAAGGGUGCGUAGGUGGUUAAUUAAGUCUUUGGUAUAAGUGCAGUGCUCAACGCUGUGACGCUAAAGAAACUGGUUGACUUGAGUGUAGUAGAGGCAAGUGGAAUUCCAUGUGUAGCGGUAAAAUGCGUAGAUAUAUGGAGGAACACCAGUGGCGAAGGCGGUUGCCUGGCCUGUAACUGACGCUGAGGCACGAAAGCGUGGGGAGCAAAUAGGAUUAGAUACCCUAGUAGUCCACGCUGUAAACGAUGAAUACUAAGUGUUGGAGAAAUUCAGUGCUGCAGUUAACGCAAUAAGUACUCCGCCUGGGGAGUACGUACGCAAGUAUGAAACUCAAAGGAAUUGACGGGACCCCGCACAAGCGGUGGAUCAUGUUGUUUAAUUCGAUGAUACGCGAAGAACCUUACCAGGUCUUGACAUCCCAUGCAAAGCUAUAGAGAUAUAGUGGAGGUUAUCAUGGAGACAGGUGGUGCAUGGUUGUCGUCAGCUCGUGUCGUGAGAUGUUGGGUUAAGUCCCGCAACGAGCGCAACCCUUGUCUUUAGUUACCAUCAUUCAGUUGGGGACUCUAGAGAGACUGCCGGUGAUAAACCGGAGGAAGGUGGGGAUGACGUCAAAUCAUCAUGCCCCUUAUGACCUGGGCUACAAACGUGAUACAAUGGCUGAAACAAAGGGCAGCGAAGCAGUGAUGUGAAGCGAAACCCAAAAAAGCAGUCUCAGUUCGGAUUGAAGUCUGCAACUCGACUUCAUGAAGUCGGAAUCGCUAGUAAUCGCGAAUCAGAACGUCGCGGUGAAUACGUUCCCGGGUCUUGUACACACCGCA
rnacentral:rRNA from 1 species